GCAGAGUAGAGAUAAAAGCGUUAAGUACCCACGAACGGGGAGUUGUCGUGUGGGCGAAAAGGUUUCCUUGCGGUUUUUAUCUCGCAUCCCGCUGU
rnacentral:ncRNA from 1 species